CGCAACUUGCACAUCCUCUCGGCAUUUCAACAUCUCGGUUUCAGUUUCUGUUUCUACGUCUGUGUGUCAAGUGUAGGCCUUUUGUGGCUGUGGAUAUAAGAAAUAAACAGAACGAACCCCUCCGAAAAUUGCACUGAUAAUGGCGUCGAAUCAAGCAGAAGAACAAGAAGUGAAAGCAGAAAGCAAAGUCACCAAGUUCGAAGAGAGAGAGAGAGACAGAUAUUGCUGGCAACAGAGAAACAUGUUGCUGAAGUCUUAGCAACAUUCGAGAUCGGAAGUAAUUAAGAACGCAAUUUUUUACUCACACACAUAGGGCCUGAAUAUUUAUGUAUAUGUAUAUGUACAUAUAUGCAUGGGGAAGUUUGGUUUGCAAGCGGCAAGAUAAACAACUUUAAUAUUUCUAAAUUAAUAAAUAUUUAAUAAAGCGCUUUUCUUGUUCUGGUAUUUUGUAAAAAAAUCGCCAAAAAUCCCAAAAACUGGG